CCUACGGGUGGCAGCAGUGAGGAAUAUUGGUCAAUGGACGAGAGUCUGAACCAGCCAAGUAGCGUGAAGGAUGACUGCCCUAUGGGUUGUAAACUUCUUUUAUAUGGGAAUAAAAUGUUCCACGUUUGGGAUUUUGUAUGUACCAUAUGAAUAAGGAUCGGCUAACUCCGUUCCAGCAGCCGCGGUAAUACGGAGGAUCCGAGCAUUAUCCGGAUUUAUUGGGUUUAAAGGGGGCGUAGGUGGAUUGUUAAGUCAGUUGUGAAAGUUUGCGGCUCAACCGGAAAAUUGCAGUUGAAACUGGCAGUCUUGAGUACAGUAGAGGGUGGCGGAAUUCGGGGUGUAGCGGUGAAAUGCUUAGAUAUCACGAAGAAAUCCGAGUGCGAAGGCAGCUCACUGGACUUCAACUGACACUGAGGCUCGAAAGUGUGGGUAUCAAACAGGAUUAGAUACCCUGGUAGUC
rnacentral:rRNA from 1 species